UACGAAGGGUGCAAGCGUUAAUCGGAAUUACUGGGCGUAAAGCGUGCGUAGGUGGUUGUUCAAGUCUGUCGUGAAAGCCCUGGGCUCAACCUGGGAAUGGCGAUGGAAACUGGGCAGCUAGAGUGUGGUAGAGGAUGGCGGAAUUCCCGGUGUAGCGGUGAAAUGCGUAGAUAUCGGGAGGAACAUCCGUGGCGAAGGCGGCCAUCUGGACCAACACUGACACUGAGGCACGAAAGCGUGGGGAGCAAACAGG
rnacentral:rRNA from 1 species